AUUGAACGCUGGCGGCAGGCUUAACACAUGCAAGUCGAGCGGGGUGAUGGUGCUUGCACUAUCACUUAGCGGCGGACGGGUGAGUAAUGCUUAGGAAUCUGCCUAUUAGUGGGGGACAACAUCUCGAAAGGGAUGCUAAUACCGCAUACGUCCUACGGGAGAAAGCAGGGGAUCACUUGUGACCUUGCGCUAAUAGAUGAGCCUAAGUCGGAUUAGCUAGUUGGUGGGGUAAAGGCCUACCAAGGCGACGAUCUAGCGGGUCUGAGAGGAUGAUCCGCCACACUGGGACUGAGACACGGCCCAGACUCCUACGGGAGGCAGCAGUGGGGAAUAUUGGACAAUGGGGGGAACCCUGAUCCAGCCAUGCCGCGUGUGUGAAGAAGGCCUUAUGGUUGUAAAGCACUUUAAGCGAGGAGGAGGCUCUUUUGGUUAAUACCCAAGAUGAGUGGACGUUACUCGCAGAAUAAGCACCGGCUAACUCUGUGCCAGCAGCCGCCGUAA
rnacentral:rRNA from 1 species